rnacentral:rRNA from 1 species
CUUGACUCUAGUCUGUCGCUGUGAGGAGACCCGCGAGGUGUAGCAUAAGCGGGAGAUCUCCUCGCGGUGGUCGUCCAUGAAAUACCGCUGCUCUCGGCGUUUCCUCACUCACUCGGUGAGGCGGGACGCGCGCGCCGUUCCCAGCGUUCGGCGCGCGUAUUCUCGAGCACCGCCCGCCGGCAGGCGGGCGGUCCCGAUCCGAGGACACCGUCAGGUGGGGAGUUCGGCUGGGGCGGUACUCCUGCCACAGGAUAACGCAGGUGUCCCAAGGCCAGCUCAGCGAGGACAGAAACCUCGCGUGGAGCACAAGGGCAAAUGCUGGCUUGAUACCGGUGUUCGGUGAGCACGGGUACCGCGAAAGCGCGGCCCAGCGAUCCUCUCCGCCCGGAGAUCAUCCGGCGAGAGGUGUCAGAAAAGUUACCACAGGGA